GGCGGUGUAGCUCAGAUGGUCAGAGCGGGCGUCUCAUAAGCGCUAGGUCACUGGUUCGACUCCAGUCACCGCCACCA
rnacentral:tRNA from 1 species